GAUAGUUUCUUAUCACUUUUUAUUGAUAACAGAAUUUUUCGAGAACCUCCCUUUCUCAAGUCUGAGAAAGUCUGAAGCAAAUGCUUCAGACUUGAGAAAGGGAGGUUCUCCCGAAAGCUUGUCAUUAAAAAAUUCUGU